rnacentral:lncRNA from 1 species
AUGCCGGCCUAUUUCCAGAGGCCGGAAAAUGCCCUCAAACGCGCCAACGAAUUUCUUGAGGUUGGCAAAAAGCAGCCUGCUCUGGAUGUUCUUUAUGAUGUUAUGAAAAGUAAGAAACAUAGAACAUGGCAAAAGAUACACGAGCCGAUUAUGUUGAAAUACUUGGAACUUUGCGUGGAUCUUCGUAAGAGCCACUUGGCUAAGGAAGGAUUAUAUCAGUAUAAGAACAUUUGUCAGCAGGUGAACAUUAAAUCUUUAGAGGAUGUUGUUAGGGCAUAUUUGAAACUGGCAGAGGAAAAAACUGAAGCUGCUAAAGAAGAAUCCCAACAGAUGGUAUUAGAUAUAGAAGAUCUGGAUAAUAUUCAGACUCCUGAGAGGUAUGAAUUAAACCUUUGAUAAUUUUGAUAGUUAAGUCAGUGUUUUUCU